rnacentral:rRNA from 1 species
UACAGAGGGUGCAACGGUUAGUCGGAAUUACUGAGCGUAACCCGUGCGUAGGUGGUAUGUUAAGUCAGGCGUGAAAUCCUGGGGCUUAACUUCAGAAUUGCGCUUGAUACUGACAGACUCGAGUGUGGUAGAGGAUAGUGGAAUUCCCGGUGUAGCGGUGAAAUGCGUAGAUAUCGGGAGGAACAUCAGUGGCGAAGGCGGCUAUCUGGACCAACACUGACGCUGAGGUACGAAAGCGUGGGUAGCAAACAGG